UCACGCUCAUUAACCACCAAAAUUCUUCUUCACCAUUUUAUCAGCACCAGAAAGAAAACCUCGAUUGAGGACUCACAAAAAGCCCUUAUAAAUCAGGAGAAGUUAAAAGACAAGAAUCAGCGUAUUUCGUGCGUCGUAAUCAUAUGGCGGAAGUCGCUGAGGAGUCGAAUAGAAUGAUAUCCACGAUGAUGAUGAUAGACGAAGCGUACGAGUUCUCGGCGCCGCGGUUCUACGAUUUUAUAAAGGGAGAGACAGAGGAAGACGUCAUAAAAGCCGAGCUUUGGUUCGACUCCGGUCUCACCUACGCUCCUUCCCCUUGUAUGCCUAGAAUCAGGACUGGUAGAUCUUUUACAGUUGAGAGCUUAUGCAGUUUCAAUGAAGCAGACCAAAUAAUGCAGAAGACCUCAGAGUCAUCACACCCAAAGGCUACUGAUAGUAACUCAGAAGUUAAACCUCAAGGAGAGGUUAUGCCGGCUGAAACCAAGAAGCAAGAAGUAACACCCACAGAGGCCAAAGAACAAAAUAACGCCCCAGUAGUUUCUGCUGAUAAGGUGAUAGGCGAAGAUGGUAAAGGAGAAGGUGCACGCACCACAGAAACUGGAAGAGUAUGUGCUGGAAGAGCUCCUGCCAGUGUGAAAAUAGAAGCUAGUGAUGACAAGUCGAAUAGUAAAUCCACUGUUAAUGUAGGAACUGAAGCUUGCACACCUAAGCCUACAAUGACUUCUCGAAAGGGAGACCUGAUGACUGAUUCGAAGAAGCACCAAACAGCUAAAAAGAUAGCCAGUUUGGUUAGGAACCCAUCAGCAUUAAAGCCUAGAAAUCAAUUACAGUCAUCCCAUGCCAAAAGCAUCAAACCAUCCAGUGUGAAGAGGGAGACAACUGGGAAAAACCCUGCUGGAACUCCCAAUUUAGCUCAAGAGAACCAAGCCAUUAAGCGGCAGAAGUUGGAAGGAGGAAGAACUAGACAGAUACUUAAUGUCAAACCUCAACUGUUGCCCCACAAGUCAAAACUGGGUCUUCCCAGUGGCGCUUCCAACUUAUGCUCUUCAACUGCUAAUAAAACUAACAAAGAGGACAGAAAGGUUUACGUAAGGGAACCAGCCAAACCAUUUGUUUCAAUGGCAGAAAUGAUGAAGAAGUUCGAGUCACGUACCAGAGACUUGUCGCUGCCGGUUAAUACUUCUCUGUCACAUAUGAAGACUAGACUCACAUUGACAAGGCCCAAGGAUCCUGAACUUGAAACUGCCCAACGGGUUCGUUCCAUCAGGGUAAAAAGUACUGCUGAGCUUGAGGAAGAAAUGAUGGCUAAAAUUCCAAAGUUCAGAGCUCGACCACUAAAUAAAAAGAUUCUCGAAGCUCGAACUUUACCUGAAAUACCAAGAACUACACCGCAGCUACCGGAAUUUCAGGAAUUUCAUUUGGAGACAAUGGCAAGGGCCAAUCAGAAUGCAGAAUCAGCUUCUGUGGCUUCGACAGAAUUGUCCCAUCAGAAUAAUAAUCCAUGGAAGCCUCGUCUGACUGCACCAAAAAGCCCUAUACUUCAGACAUUAUUGAGGGCUCGUCCCGCUAGGGUGAAAAGCACUUUUGAACUUGAGCAAGAGGAGCUUGAAAAACUACCUAAAUUUAAGGCGAAGCCUUUGAAUAAGAAGAUCUUUGAAAGCAAAGGGGAUUUGGGAAUGUUCUGUAAUGCAAAGAAACAUGUUACCGUACCUCAAGAAUUUCAUUUUGCAACGGAUGAGAGGAUUCCACCUCCUGUUGCUGUUGUUGAUUUGUUUGACAAGCUUUCUUUGAAUUCAGAACCUCGUCAUGAUUAUCCGAUUCCAAGAAACACUACUCCAAAUCCAUUCCACCUUCACACAGAGGAAAGAGGGGCCGAGAAAGAGAGGAGAUUGUAUAUGGAGCUCAUGCAGAAACAGUUGGAAGAGGAAAGAGCUAGGGUUCCCAGGGCAAACCCAUACCCAUAUACCACUGACUAUCCUGUGAUUCCACCAAAGCCAGAGCCCAAGCAUUGCACAAAACCAGAACCUUUCCAAUUGGAAAGUUUGGUGAGGCACGAGGAGGAAAUGCAAAGGGAAAUGGAAGAAAGGAGUAGGGUUGAGAAAGAAGAAGCCCAGAAGAAAAUUUUCAAGGCGCUGCCAAUUCUGAAAGAGGACCCUAUUCCAGUUCCAGAGAAAGUGCGCAAACCCCUUACUCAAGUUCAGGAAUUUAAUCUCCAUGUAGAUCAUCGAGCUGUGGAUAGAGCUGAGUUUGAUCACAAGAUCAAAGAAAAAGAAAUGAUGUAUAAGAGAUACAGAGAAGAGAGCGACGCGGCACGGAUGUGUGUUUUCAGAUGGAGGAAGAGAAGGCCCUGAAACAAUUGAGAAGGACAUUGGUUCCCCAUGCAAGACCAGUGCCUAAUUUCAACCAGCCUUUCUGCCCCCAAAAGUCUUCCAGGGAAACAACAAAAGCAAAAUCACCGAAUUUGCGUGUGCUCCAGAGAAAAGAAAGGCGAAAAGCGUUCAAUGCCGUGGCUACUGCAGUUUCAAGUGCGGCUGCUCAUAUGAGAUAGAUGAUUGUUGGUUGAUUCAAGAGUGGGAAUAGUGUUCAAGAACUCUUGAACCCCUCAUAGAGAAGGGCCCUAUAUCCCUUUUAAUGUAGAACUUUCGUUGUUGCCAAAUUUGUAAUGUACUAUUAUUAUUCUUUUUAAAGCCAUGCUUUCUUAGAAAGAAGUGUAUAAAAACUGUAUUUCCAACUGAGAGAGAAUGCAAUAUUAUUUUUCCAUGCGCACUUCGAGAACAAAUGUGCGCAAAUCCAAA